rnacentral:rRNA from 1 species
CCUUUAGAGUUUGGAUCCUGGCUCAGGACGAACGCUGGCGGCGUGCUUAACACAUGCAAGUCGAACGAUGAACCUCCUUCGGGAGGGGAUUAGUGGCGAACGGGUGAGUAACACGUGGGCAAUCUGCCCUUCACUCUGGGACAAGCCCUGGAAACGGGGUCUAAUACCGGAUACGACACACGACCGCAUGGUCUGUGUGUGGAAAGCUCCGGCGGUGAAGGAUGAGCCCGCGGCCUAUCAGCUUGUUGGUGGGGUGAUGGCCUACCAAGGCGACGACGGGUAGCCGGCCUGAGAGGGCGACCGGCCACACUGGGACUGAGACACGGCCCAGACUCCUACGGGAGGCAGCAGUGGGGAAUAUUGCACAAUGGGCGAAAGCCUGAUGCAGCGACGCCGCGUGAGGGAUGACGGCCUUCGGGUUGUAAACCUCUUUCAGCAGGAAGAAGCGAGAGGACG